rnacentral:lncRNA from 1 species
CAUACAAGCACCUGCCACCACACCUGGCUAAUUUUUUGUAUUUUUAGUAGAGAUAGGGUUUCAUCGUGUUAGCCAGGAUGGUAUCGAUCUCCUGACUUCGUGAUCCGCCUGCCUCUGCCUCCCGAAGUGCUGGGAUUACAGGUGUGAGCCACUGUGCCCGACUGUUCUUUAAAAAUGAGGAAGAAACCGUUCCGGAAGCAUCAUCGUCUACAACAAUAAGCAUCGUCUAAAACAAAAUUGGCUGUAAAGUAGUACAGUCAGGAGAUCAAGACCAUCCUGGUUACCACAGUGAAACCCCGUCUCUACUGAAAAUACAAAAAAUUUACCGGGUGUGGUGGCAUGCGCCUGUAAUUCCAGUUGCUCAGGAGGCUGAGGCAGGAGAAUCACUUGAACCUGGGAGGCAGAAGUUGUAGUGAGCCAAGAUCACGCCAUUGCACUCCAGCCUGGGUGGCAGAGUGAGACAUCAUCUCAAAAACAAAAAACAAUAAAGUAGUACAGUCCAGAUGAGGAGUUGACAAACCAUACCUUGCAGGCCAAAUACUGCCCAUCACGUGUUUUGGGAUGGUCCAUGACUGUGAGGUAAGAACAGUUUUUACACUUUUUCUU